rnacentral:misc_RNA from 1 species
CGUUAAUCGAGACACAAAAGCAAACUUCCGUUCGCGGCCUCGUUGCUUACUUUCAACCAAUCAAAUGUUCGGUUAAUCAAUUGUCAAUAUCUUUCCAUUCUUUGCCCAUGCAGUCCCUGAUAAUAGCUGUAUCGCAAACGUCUUCCGGAGUAACACGAUACAUUUUGUAAAAGUAUGCAUCACGUUAUUUAAUACGUAAUAUUGCAUAAGAUAAUAGAAGAUCAUCACUGCGACUGGAGUAUAUAUAUGUAGGAUAUUUCAAAGGCAUGCCAUUACUUCAUAAAACAGUGGGGAACUGAACACCUAUUCAAAGUGAUAACGUAGAUAUAAAAUUAAAAUUUUGUUAAGAAAAAUGGCUGAAAUACUGGAUGAGAAACAAGUAUACACAUGACUUCUAAGGAAGCAAGAACUAGAAAAGGUCGUUUAUAUAGUUCAGUUAGUUGUAAAAAUAACUUGGCCUUAAUUACUGUGAUAAGCGGAAGGAUUUCAGCCACUAAAGGGAAAAUCAGGGACACUCUAAGAUGUUUUGGCAAUCUGUCUUCCUCGCAAGCUUCGUGGUGUUGCAUUGCCCAACUAUUGAAGGAAGAACAAUAGGAAAUUACGUCACAAACUCUCAAUCAGAAACAGACUCAGAUAAUCUCGGUCUAUUAUUGCGGGCAAUACGACUCUUGCAAGAUAACCAAGAAAAACAAGAUAGCCAGCAAAGUUCAGAUAUUUUUGAGACAGGGGUGCAGAACGCAGACGAACAAAUUGACCUAGGCAAACGUUGUCACCCUUCACUUCAUAAACCAUGCAAACGCACAGAUGAUACAAGCCUUAGAGAAAAUAAGAUAGAUGCAGUACCAACAUUAAACGAUCGUACAGAAAAGUUGCUACUCGUGAGGCUUCUUGCUGAUUACAUCCAGGAAAAUUCUAGGACUUUCUAGAUUCAGCUCAGUUCGAUUGUUCAGCAGUUGAACCAUGAAGCAAAUAGAGUCAUGUGAUUCGGAUUUAAGGAGAAAUUAAUGAGAUACAUUUAUUAAAACAACAAAUAGACAUGAACCUAUUCUAAUUCAUCUAGAAGUUAUGCGGACAUUUUACUAAGUGAUUUCUGCUUUAAUGGAUAUUUACUCGAUUACAACGAUUAGAAUUGCUAACACGCUACUUUUAACAGUUAUACA